rnacentral:rRNA from 1 species
GACGAACGCUGGCGGCGUGCUUAACACAUGCAAGUCGAACGGAAAGGCCCCUUUGGGGGUACUCGAGUGGCGAACGGGUGAGUAACACGUGAGUAACCUGCCCUUGACUUCGGGAUAACUUCAGGAAACUGGGGCUAAUACCGGAUAGGAAUCCUUGCUGCAUGGUGGGGGUUGGAAAGCUUCGGCGGUUUUGGAUGGACUCGCGGCUUAUCAGCUUGUUGGUGGGGUAGUGGCUUACCAAGGCUUUGACGGGUAGCCGGCCUGAGAGGGCGACCGGCCACAUUGGGACUGAGAUACGGCCCAGACUCCUACGGGAGGCAGCAGUGGGGAAUAUUGCACAAUGGGCGGAAGCCUGAUGCAGCAACGCCGCGUCCGGGAUGACGGCCUUCGGGUUGUAAACCGCUUUCAGCAGGGGCGAAGCUUGUGGUGACGGUACCUGCAGAAGAAGCACCGGCUAACUACGUG